rnacentral:rRNA from 1 species
GUAGUCCACGCCCUAAACGAUGUCAACUAGGUGUUGGGGAAGGUGACUUCCUUAGUACCGCAGCUAACGCGUGAAGUUGACCGCCUGGGGAGUACGGCCGCAAGGUUAAAACUCAAAGGAAUUGACGGGGACCCGCACAAGCGGUGGAUGAUGUGGAUUAAUUCGAUGCAACGCGAAAAACCUUACCUACCCUUGACAUGCUUGGAACCCUGCUGAGAGGUGGGGGUGCCCGAAAGGGAGCCGGGACACAGGUGCUGCAUGGCUGUCGUCAGCUCGUGUCGUGAGAUGUUGGGUUAAGUCCCGCAACGAGCGCAACCCUUGUCGUUAAUUGCCAUCAUUUAGUUGGGCACUUUAACGAGACUGCCGGUGACAAACCGGAGGAAGGUGGGGAUGACGUCAAGUCCUCAUGGCCCUUAUGGGUAGGGCUUCACACGUCAUACAAUGGCGCAUACAGAGGGUUGCGAAGCCGCGAGGUGAAGCCAAUCCCAGAAAGUGCGUCGUAGUCCGGAUUGCAGUCUGCAACUCGACUGCAUGAGGUCGGAAUCGCUAGUAAUCGCGGAUCAGCAUGUCGCGGUGAAUACGUUCCCGGGUCUUGUACACACCGCCCGUCACACCAUGGGAGUGGGUUCUACCAGAAGCAGGUAGCCUAACCGCAAGGAGGGCGCCUACCACGGUAGGAUUCAUGACUGGGGUG